UCGGAUCGCAGCUGCAACCCGCCUGCGUGAAGUUGGAAUCGCUAGUAAUCGCGGAUCAGCAUGCCGCGGUGAAUACGUUCCCGGGCCUUGUACACACCGCCCGUCACACCAUGAGAGUCGGGAACACCCGAAGUCCGUAGCCUAACCGCAAGGGGGCGCGGCCGAAGGUGGGUUCGAUAAUUGGGGUGAAGUCGUAACAAGGUACC
rnacentral:rRNA from 1 species